rnacentral:lncRNA from 1 species
AUAAAACCCCUUCUUAUUAGUUUCUCUCUCCACACUUUCACAUAACACAGACCGCGAAUAUUAUUCCUCUCUCAUUUUCAGCAAAAUUCGACCCCUUUCCCUCAUUCGAUAAAAUAAGAGAUGCUUAUCUAGGUCGAAAGUAAUGAUGGAGAAUCGGUCAGCUCAUAGCCUUAGUCGAUUUCUUCUCUCCCCUGACCCGAUUUGGUGCAAGCCACAAAUCUAGGUGAAAAGUAGCGAAGGAAUCAGAGAAAUAAAGCAAAUCCCUCUUAUUUCUCUCUCAUUUUCAGACAAAGCAAAUCCCUUUCCCUCAUCCGAUUCGCUCUAAAGGAACGAAGCCUUAGUCGAUUUCUUCCCUUGCCACUGACCCGAAUCAGUUCAAGCAACCCUAUAUAAGCUUUACUUUAUUUCCUCUGGUAAGCUCUGGUCGAUUGUCUGCAUUUUGAUUACAUUAUUAAUAAAAAAAAUUCUAUAUAAAUGCAUCUGAUUGUUCAUUUUAUCAGUAUCUGAUAUUUACUUAUCCUUUGUAUGAGAUCUGUAGUGGAAACUCUAAAAAUUUUUAACUUUUUCUCGAGAUGGAUGUAAUGCUAAAGUGAUGACAUUUGAUUUAAUUUUAAACAUUUUGAUUAUUGGAUGAAACAACUUUCGUUUUUUAGUAAAUUGGGACUCUUUUUUUACUUGGCUUUCAAGGAUUAUUCCCCCUUUUCUUUUUAGGCAUGUUUGUUUUGUGUGGUUUAAUAGUGAAGUCUGUCGGAGUAAAAUGAAAUUGUUAGUGUCAUAUGCAAUUCGCUUAGUUGUGUUCUGAUGUUUUCUAGGUGCAUCCUUGUGGUCAAUACAAUAAGAGCACAAUCAUUGGCAUUCUUCAAGCAGAGUAUGACUUAGCACCUUUAUUUCGUCUCCAUUUUUUUGGGUGACCCAACAAAACUAAUAAAUAUAAUUUCAUUGAUAUUUUAUGAUUCAGUUAUGGUAUUCCUUUUAACCCCCUCUUUAACCUGUGUCUCUGUGUGUGUCAAUCUCUUCUACACUCUUGUUAAAUUUUGCAAUUUUAUAUUUGUUGUUUAUCCUUGACACUGUCGUAUCAGCUGUUCAUUAACUCGAAAGCUGAGUCUCGGGAUUGCUUAUUUUGGCUAGAAGUGCUUCCAAGGCUGAUAUCUUUAGGCAGGAGGCAAGUUUAAAUGGCUUUCUUUGUUUCUAAUUAGGGAGAAAAUGAAAUUAUUGUUGGACAAUCUAGGAACAUGAUAAAUAUAUAAUUUUUAUGUCGUUAAUUGUCGUCCUCUAUAAUUUUAAUUGACGACGGGUUGAAUAUGCGGAAUUGGGGUUAUUAUGAGACUUCCUUUAAGAAGCAUCUUGGUCCUCUAUAAUUUUGAUUGACAACAAUCAUAGUUGUGUUCUUCCCUUCCAAGUGUUGUGGUUUUUCCCCUCCGAUUGAUGUUGUGUUCCUCCCUAAUUUACUUUUUUAAUUAGAAACUGAUAUUUUCACAUGUAUUGGGCAUAUGUAUUGCUUUAUCAAGAUUUACACUUUAUUCGUGUUUGAGAAAGACUUUCACACUCUAUUCGUGUUUUAAUACGUUUUAUUUGAGCAACUAUGAACGCACAUUAUCAUUUUGAGAGGCGACCUCAACUUAAAAUGGCAUGGACAGAUUCAAACCCAAGAAUAAGGUUUUUAUUAUGUCCGAAUUAUGGAAAUGUAAGUGUGUUAGGGUUUUAAUUUUUUUUAUAUAUUUGUUCCAUUCUAUUUACUUGCACAUAAAAUUGAAAUCUUCUUUGUUUAUAGAGGAAUGCUUGUCAAUUUUUUUCUUGUUAUGAUCUUCCAAUGUGUGACAGAUAAAGACAAAUAAACCUCCGAUUACUUCGAAAAAUUAACAGAAUGGAGCAAGAGAUGGAGAAAAUGCGUGCAAUAGAGAAGAUGCGAAGAAUAAAAUUUAUUACUGCACUUGAUUGUUCUUGGUUAUUGAUUUUAAUCAUGUUAUUGUAGAUGAAGUAAUUAUUUUCAUUUGGGUUGAUUAAACUUCUAGUAUAAUUUGUUGUAACCUUAUCCAAGACGGAGUAAAUAUUGUAAUUUGGGUUAACUUCUAGAAUCUGUAAGGAUUGUUUUGUAUUUGUGUUGUUAGAAGUGGUGAUAUUAACAUUAACAUCAAUUCCUUGCCAAAUUCCAAAGCAAGCAGAGCUCUUACCAUUCAUUUUUUACCUUAUGUGUGUCCUCAAUAAACAAUAAAGAUUGGUCUCCUUUCAAGCUGAUUGUAUCAAUUAAGGCACAAAAUUGUAAUUUUAAAAUUCACUCAUAAGCAAUACUGCUUUUGACAUGUUAGUCUCCUAAGCAGUAUUGGCAGCACAAAAGAAGUUGACACAUAAGAAACAUGGAAAUAAUGUGGAAGAAAUACAUACUAGAACUAGAAAGAGAGGAAAGAAGGUAAAUAAGUGUCCACAGGUAGAGGUUGGG